rnacentral:tRNA from 1 species
GAGGGUAUAGCUCAGGUGGUAGAGCGUGUGCUUAGUGUGUAUGAGGUCUUGGGUUCAAUCCCCAAUACCACCU